GCCCCAUAAUCUGGGGUGCGGACAGUGUCUGGUGGGUAGUUUGACUGGGGCGGUCUCCUCCCAAAGCGUAACGGAGGAGCACGAAGGUUGGCUAAGCAUGGUCGGACAUCAUGCGGUUAGUGCAAAGGCAUAAGCCAGCUUGACUGCGAGAGUGACGGCUCGAGCAGGUACGAAAGUAGGUCUUAGUGAUCCGGUGGUUCUGAAUGGAAGGGCCAUCGCUCAACGGAUAAAAGGUACUCCGGGGAUAACAGGCUGAUACCGCCCAAGAGUUCAUAUCGACGGCGGUGUUUGGCACCUCGAUGUCGGCUCAUCACAUCCUGGGGCUGAAGUAGGUCCCAAGGGUAUGGCUGUUCGCCAUUUAAAGUGGUACGCGAGCUGGGUUUAGAACGUCGUGAGACAGUUCGGUCCCUAUCUGCCGUGGGCGUUGGAAGAUUGAAAGGGGCUGCUCCUAGUACGAGAGGACCGGAGUGGACGCACCGCUGGUGUUCGGGUUGUCAUGCCAAUGGCACUGCCCGGUAGCUAAGUGCGGAAGAGAUAACCGCUGAAAGCAUCUAAGCGGGAAACUUGCCUUGAGAUGAGUCUUCCCUGACUCUUUAAGGGUCCUAAAGGAACGUUUAAGACGAAGACGUUGAUAGGCUGGGUGUGUAAGCGUAGCGAUACGUUGAGCUAACCAGUACUAAUGAACCGUGAGGCUUAACCUG
rnacentral:rRNA from 1 species